CAGUGACCUAGGCCAGGGCAGGGGGACAAGGAGGGGUCCGUGGCUUUCUCCCUCCCUCCAUCUGGCCCUCAGCGUGAUCCCCUCCCCCACCACACCCUAUUCUCCCUCUCAUUCAUGGUUUGGUGGACAAGGAGGGUCAAGGCCUGGAGGAGCUGAGCAAAUCUCCGAGCUGCAGCCCAAAUGAACCUUCCCAGCACUCAUUACCUGGCUUCUGUGGCCACAGGGAGCUACAGAUAUUAGGAGCACCAAAGCGGGGAGCUGGCGGGCAGCACCAAGUAGUUUGUAGGAAAGACAACUGAGCUGGGGCGGCCUUUGUGGUCUCAUUGCCUGCCCCCUCCUGCCCUGUUCCCACCCUGUCAGUCUAUCAGGCUGCCCCAGGGACCCCAACUCUGGGCACAGAUCCACACCAGCCUCUGCCAGGAGACCCAAGGCCAUGCUCCGUCCUCAGGGUGGGCAUGAGCCUGCCUGCUGUUGGUGCUCUCCUUCCAGAAAGUCCCCCCCUCCCCAAGGCUUCUGGGUGCACGGAGAGGACCCUGAAUGCGCUGAGGUUCAAGUACCCAGGCCCACCUGGUCCCCACAGAGGUGCUACCCUCCCUGGGUAACUUGUUCUCUGCCGAGGCUCAUCUCUCUACCAUGAGAAAGCGGGAGGAAAAGGGGGCUCAAGGUCCCUUCUAGCUCUCAGUCUGGGCUCCUCUGAUCCCCUGAGAUCCUUCCAGCUCUAGAGGUAGAGUCUGAAGAACAGAGACUCCUCCCCGGUGUGCUGACUGCCUCGUGGUAAAGACCAAUGCCGAGAGGUGGGAAAGGGGCCAAGGGCACAAGGAAUGACACCAGUUUUAGGUGGGCUAUAAAUAAUCUUAACUGUGCUCCAAGUAUGUGAGAACCUCGCCCAAAAGGGAGAGAGGAAAUGGUUCUACGUCCAAGAUUGCUACUUCAAAUUAAAUGGAAGAACGGACGGCUCACAAUAAAAGAACCAGAAGAGUUCAAUUUAUCACGGGCUUAAAAGCAACAAGAAACCCUUCAUGAGACACUCGGUCGUCUCACCUGGCACUUCUCGGGAAGGACAACCGGCCACACAAACACCAGCAGUUUAAGCCUCGAGGGCUGUGGCGGAGGGUCAGGCCCCUCCGAAUUCAGAACCAGGUAUGGGAAGGAAAAGACCCAAUUCAGUGCAGCUGCCCAAAGCAAGAGGAGGAAAGGCCAGUAAAUGGAGAAGAGAUGGAAACAGUGCAUCAAGAUUUCUAAAGCAAAAGCUUUCCUGUCAGUGACAUAUACUCACAGAGCAGGGAAAUGGUGAAUAAACAUCCUCAUCUUCAGGAAAGGAAAGAGAAUGGAAUCUGCAAAGCACAUUUCAGGGACACUUGACGCUAUCAUCGAAGAGAAAGCCGGUGAGCAGAAAUGGAAGUGGUGACGGCAGUCGCCAAGAACUCGGCUUGGCUCCCCCCAAAAUAAGGCAGGUUGGCCCAUCUCUAUUUUAAUUUUUUUUCUAACAGGAUAACUGAACAGGUAGACUAGAAGGAUACUAUAAAUGUGGUUUAUCAGAUGCUACCAUUUUGUCGUGGAUAAAGGCCUAGGCAAAAUCAUGCUCCAAUUUUAAGACGACACAAAAUUAGAAGGGAUGGCCGACACAAUGGAUGAUAAAGUUGGCAUCCCCAAAGAGCCUGGAAGGCCAGAAUGUUCGGAUGAAUCUAGGGAGUCGAUGUAAAAUCUUACAUUUGGGCAAGGCCUGGUUCGACAGGCAUCCUGCUUGGGAAAGGGCUGGCUGGCUUAGUGGGUUGAGUCCAGUGUGAUUAAAAGGCAGCCUCAAAAAGCUAACACAACUUCCAUCAACAUAAUGGGAGGUAGAACUACAGAUGUACAAAGGUGUCUGGUUCCUUUCCUUCUGGCCGGGCCAGACCACAUUGAAGUAAAGUCCGGGCACUGAGAAGCUGGAAAGGGCGCGAGUGUCCUCCCAGAUGAGAGCCAACAGAUCUAACCCUGGAUGAGGGCACAUUAAAGAAAGCCUGGAGAAGUCACCUCCAAGGGGACCUAAGCGAAGAAACAGACUUAUGUCUGCCAAGUGUAGACAGGAGAAGGUGGCACAGAAGCAAGUCUAGGCUCAAAAGAAGGGAAAGCUCGCCUCGCCAGUUUAGCCAGUCAAAACUGUAAUGGGGGAUCUUGGGAACUACCGGGGUCUUCCUUCUUAGAAGCUUUCAAGCCAAGACAGGAAGAUCAAGUGAUGGGUAAGCUGAAUUAUGGGUAAGCUGAAUUGUGGAUUUUUCAAGUCGGGGUUGACUUAAUAGACAAAUGUGAGGAGGGAGAACCUUGUGAGCAAAGAGGAAGCACUCUGUACAAAGACAUGGUCAAGUAGGAGAUGGAAUGGCGUCCACAUAGAACAAGCAGACCAGUUUGGAGAGAAAAUGAGAGAGAGUUAAGGAUUCCAGGGUUUCACACCUGGACUAGAAAUACGGCCAUACCCUCAAAAGAGAGAAGGAAGCAGGAGUGAGAAAAACAAACCCAUGUGAGACGCCCUGGGAUUGAGAAGGCUACAGAACAUUGCUGGUGGGGAGAUGGUGAGGAUUUGUAUUCAAAGCAAUUACAAUAGAUUGAAUCUAUUAGGAUCUGCGCCCCCUCAGAGCACCUCAUUCUCCAGUCACUAAGGAUUGAUGUGAGCUGUCAGGGUAGAUUCCCAACCCCCACCUCAGAAU